rnacentral:rRNA from 1 species
UACGUAGGGGGCAAGCGUUGUCCGGAUUCAUUGGGCGUAAAGAGCGUGUAGGCGGCCAGGUAGGUCGGUUGUGAAAACUGGAGGCUCAACCUUCAGAGGUCGACCGAAACCAUCUGGCUAGAGUCCGGGAGAGGAGAGUGGAAUUCCUGGUGUAGCGGUGAAAUGCGCAGAUAUCUGGAGGAACACCGGUGGCGAAGGCGGCAUCCUGGACCAACACUGACGCUGAGGAGCGAAAGCCAGGGGAGCAAACGGG